UACGUAGGGUGCCAGCGUUGUCCGGAAUUAUUGGGCGUAAAGAGCUCGUAGGCGGUUCGUCGCGUCGGCUGUGAAAACCCGGAGCUCAACUCCGGGCCUGCAGUCGAUACGGGCGGACUUGAGUGUUGCAGGGGAGACUGGAAUUCCUGGUGUAGCGGUGAAAUGCGCAGAUAUCAGGAGGAACACCGAUGGCGAAGGCAGGUCUCUGGGCCAUAACUGACGCUGAGAAGCGAAAGCAUGGGGAGCGAACAGG
rnacentral:rRNA from 1 species